GCCCCCUCUUUCUCUCUGCGGCGCAGCACACGCCACACACUCAGCAGCACAACGCCACAACGCCAUCGAUCGACGCCAUCUACCUUACAUCGCGAUGUUUUGAAAGACGAGUGAGUUACGAUGGUUAGGGUUACGAGUCUAUCCUCAACAUGCUCGCCUGUGGCACAUGAAGACGAAGGACUCCAUGCUGUCUAUGUUUAUUCGUUGUGAAACUCUGAUGAUAUGCUAGCCUCGUGCUAUGCAAUUUGUAAUCCUUUAUGUAAUAUCUGGAUCAUACGAUGUAAUAAAGACCUUUGUUUCUUGGUA